CUACGGGUGGCACCAGUGAGGAAUAUUGCACAAUGGGGGGAACCCUGAUGCAGCAACGCCGCGUGUAGGAUGACGCAUUUCGGUGUGUAAACUCCUUUUAUAUGUCAAGAAAAUGACGGUAGCAUAUGAAUAAGCACCGGCUAACUCCGUGCCAGCAGCCGCGGUAAUACGGAGGGUGCAAGCGUUACUCGGAAUCACUGGGCGUAAAGGACGCGUAGGCGGCCUAAUAAGUCAGGGGUGAAAUCCUACGGCUCAACCGUAGAACUGCUCUUGAAACUGUCAGGCUAGAGUGAGGGAGAGGUCAGUGGAAUUAGUGGUGUAGGGGUAAAAUCCGUAGAUAUCACUAGGAAUACUCAUUGCGAAGGCGACUGACUGGAACUUUACUGACGCUGAGGCGUGAAAGCGUGGGGAGCAAACAGGAUUAGAUACCCCAGUAGUC
rnacentral:rRNA from 1 species